GGAAGGAUCAUUAACACAAUAUCCUUACACCUUGUGUGAACUGUAAUGUUGUUGUUUUCACCUUUAUCUGAAUUACAAGAGCAAGCUGAACUCUAACGAGUGCAGUGAGCGAAAUUAACAUACACAACUGCUAGCAACGGAUGUCUUGGUUCUCGCAACGAUGAAGAACGCAGCGAAUUGCGAUAAGUAAUGUGAAUCGUAAGAUUCAGUGAAUCAUCAAAUCUUUGAACGCAAACGGCGCUCUCUGGAACUCCGGGGAGCAUACCUGUUUGAGCAUCAACAACAUAUCCAAUAUCCUCUUUAUUGAAGAUGCUGGGUGAAUGAGCGUCAUGCAGCAAUGCAUGUUGCUUGAAGAACAUGGCUGGAGACAGCGACCGACGGUGAGGUUUCGGCCUAACAGUUGGACGUCUAUCUCGCAACAGCACGAUGUAAGACAUCAAACUUGAUCUCAAAUCAGGUAAGACUACCCGCUGAAUUGAAGCAUCUAAUUAAGCGGAGGAAAAGAAACUAACAAGGAUUCCCCUAGUAACGGCGAGUGAAGAGGGAAGAGCUCAAACUUAAAAUCUGGGAGGUUUCCUCUCCGAAUUGUAGUCUAUAGAAGCGCAACCGGGCUUUGACCUUUGUCCAAGUUCCCUGGAAGGGGGCAUCAGAGAGGGUGACAAUCCCGUAUCUGGCGAAGGAUCAGAGUCCAUACGGUGCGUAUUCGACGAGUCGAGUUGUUUGGGAAUGCAGCUCUAAAUGGGUGGUAAAUUCCAUCUAAAGCUAAAUAUUGGCGAGAGACCGAUAGCGAACAAGUACCGUGAGGGAAAGAUGAAAAGAACUUUGAAAAGAGAGUUAAAAGUGCCUGAAAUUGCUAGCAUGGAAGCGAUUGAAACUGGUUAACUGCAUGCUGGAUUGCGCGGUGACUUCCGUUCUGCGGAUUUGCUGUGUAUCUCCAGUGUGUAGAAGUCAACUCCGGUUACUGGAUGGGUUAUCUGCAUGUGGAAGGUAGAUCAGGCUUGCCUGGUUGUUAUAGCCUAUUGCAGUGCCUGUUCGGGGACCAGGUAGCGGGCGCAAGCUCCUGUUGACGUAACGGUUUUAACCGUCCCGUCUUGAAACACGGACCAAGGAGUCUAACAUAUAUGCGAGUAUUGUGGUGGCAAACCACAGUGCGCAAUGAAAGUGAAGGCUUGCUCGGCAGGCUGAGGUGUGAACUCUAGCAAUAGAGCGCAACAUCGACCGAUCUAUCGGUUUACCGAAAGAUUUGAGUAAGAGCAUAUACGUUGGGACCCGAAAGAUGGUGAACUAUGCCUGGGUAGGAUGAAGCCAGAGGAAACUCUGGUGGAGGUCCGAAGCGGUUUUGACGUGCAAAUCAAUCGUCGAAUCUGGGUAUAGGGGCGAAAGACUAAUCGAACCAUCUAGUAGCUGGUUCCCUC
rnacentral:misc_RNA from 1 species